UUGUAGAGCACUCCGUUGGAUGAUACCUCUCUUAACAACACAAGCAGCUCUGCUCCCCGUGUUUCCUUCAUUGCAUGUGCCUCCGUUUUGUAUUUUCAAGGCUGGGAGAGGCUAUCCUACCUAAGGUCUUAGAAAUGCUUUCCAGUGUCAGAUCAAAUUAGUGUUUCCUAUGACUGAAGCCACUGAAACUUUGUGUGAUGAGGAGGAACGUCACGAGAGCAUGGAAGAAAAUUGCCUGCUGAUGACAAUUUAUGAUGACGUAUGGUGUUAUCUCCUGGAGCUGCCUCCUUUUCCAGCACUUCUGCGAGUAUGCUUUCGGUCAUGCCUUACACUACACCUGCCCAUGGUCCUGGAGUGCCCGACGGCUCACCAGAGCCGCAGCUCUCCAUGUGGCAGGAGAAAUGGCUGCGCCGUUGCACCUUCAACUAGAGCAGCCGGCUCAGCUGUCUCAGCCUUUGAAAGCGAAACAAGGAUAAAAGAACACCAAAGAGAAACAGCGGCGCUCCAUGCCACAAAAGCCCAGAGCCUCGCGCUGAGCAAGUCGCCCUCAAAUCACCCGCGGCGUGGAAGCGCGUCGUGCCCCGCUCACGUGGGACGGGGCGAUGGAGAUCCAAAUGGGAACGGACGCUCGGGUUGUUCUGCUCAUCUGCAAUGGGUCAGCAGCGGAGCCGCAGCCUCCACACGCGCUCCCUGCCUCGGCGCUGCUGUCGGCGGACUCGCGCCAAGGAGACCGUGA
rnacentral:lncRNA from 1 species